UAAGAAUUGUUCAAGCGUUAAUCGGAAUUACUGGGCGUAAAGCGCGCGUAGGUGGUUCGUUCAGUUGGAUGUGAAAGCCCCGGGCUCAACCUGGGAACUGCAUCCAAAACUGGCGAGCUAGAGUAUGGCAGAGGGUGGUGGAAUUUCCUGUGGAGCGGUGAAAUGCGUAGAUAUAGGAAGGAACACCAGUGGCGAAGGCGACCACAGGGGCUAAUACUGACACUGAGGUGCGAAAGCGUGGGGAGCAAACAGGAUUAGAUAC
rnacentral:rRNA from 1 species